AUACAGAGGGUGCAAGCGUUAAUCGGAUUUACUGGGCGUAAAGCGCGCGUAGGUGGCUAAUUAAGUCAAAUGUGAAAUCCCCGAGCUUAACUUGGGAAUUGCAUUCGAUACUGGUUAGCUAGAGUAUGGGAGAGGAUGGUAGAAUUCCAGGUGUAGCGGUGAAAUGCGUAGAGAUCUGGAGGAAUACCGAUGGCGAAGGCAGCCAACUGGCCUAAUACUGACACUGAGUUGCGAAAGCAUGGGGAGCAAACAGGAUUAGAUACCCUGGUAGUCCAUGCCGUAAACGAUGUCUACUAGCCGUUGGGGCCCUUGAGGCUUUAGUGGCGCAGCUAACGCGAUAAGUAGACCGCCUGGGGAGUACGGUCGCAAGACUAAAACUCAAAUGAAUUGACGGGG
rnacentral:rRNA from 1 species